CUACCCCCGGAGGCUCGGAACAGCUUGGGCGGGCGUUUGGUCUGGUUUGUCGCCUCAGAUGGAUCAAAAGGUUUCUGCUGAUAGGCAAAGUUGCCCCACUUUCCGCGGCGGCGACGCGGAGUUACUUUCUGCAGCGAGGCAGCCUCGAGGACCUUAAAGGGAAAAGGCGGACAGAAGGAGGGCGAGCGCGCUUGGUUUCGACCUUUAAGGGAGGCCCAGAUGCUGUCAGGCCCCUCAGUUUACCUUGCGAAGUUACUUACGGAUCAGCAGCAUUUGGCCUUCGUCGGGUGGGGGAGAAACCUAGGCAUCAAAUAAAUUCUGUUUCACAGA
rnacentral:lncRNA from 1 species